UGAGACAUGUUCGUAGCGGUCGAUAGAGCUUCCGACCCGGUUUGUUCGGUUUAGUUGUUAUCCCCUUUAUUUCUGUUGAUAUAACUUAGACAGCUAAUAUGGUUCAGUAUUUUAUUAUGUUUUAAUAUUCAAGAUUUCAGUUGGUUUUCUGAAUUUAAUAAAGAUUCGUGGAUUUUUGUAAAAUGGAAAGAUUUUCUAU
rnacentral:lncRNA from 1 species